AGGACGAACGCUGGCGGCACGCUUAACACAUGCAAGUCGAACGGAGUUUGGAGCUUGCUCCAAAACUUAGUGGCGGACGGGUGAGUAACACGUGAGCAACCUACCUCUGAGAGCGGGAUAGCUUCUGGAAACGGAUGGUAAUACCGCAUGACAUCGUGCUACCGCAUGAUAGUACGAUCAAAUGAAUUUCGCUCAGAGAUGGGCUCGCGCCUGAUUAGCUAGAUGGUGAGGUAACGGCUCACCAUGGCGACGAUCAGUAGCCGGACUGAGAGGUUGAACGGCCACAUUGGGACUGAGGCACGGCCCAGACUCCUACGGGAGGCAGCAGUGGGGAAUAUUGCACAAUGGGCGAAAGCCUGAAUGCAGCGAUGCCGCGUGGAGGAAGAAGGUUUUCGGAUUGUAAACUCCUUUUUCAGGGACGAUAAUGACGGUACCUGAAGGAGAAGCUCCGGCUAACUACGUGCCAGCCGCUGC
rnacentral:rRNA from 1 species